rnacentral:rRNA from 1 species
AAUCAACGCUGGCGGCGUGCCUCAGACAUGCAAGUCGAACGAGAAAGUUCCCUUCGGGGAAUGAGUAAAGUGGCGCACGGGUGAGUAACACGUAGGUAAUCUACCUUCGGGUGGGGAAUAACCCAGGGAAACUCGGGCUAACACCGCAUAAUGCAGCGGCACCACAUGGUGACAGUUGUUAAAGCGGGGGAUUUUAGGACCUCGCGCCUGAAGAGGAGCCUGCGGCGGAUUAGCAGUUGGUAGGGUAACGGCUUACCAAGGCGACGAUCCGUAACCGGCCUGAGAGGGCGGUCGGUCACACUGACACUGACAUACGGGUCAGACUCCUACGGGAGGCAGCAGUCGGGAAUUUUGGGCAAUGGGCGAAAGCCUGACCCAGCAACGCCGCGUGAGGGAU